rnacentral:other from 3 species
UACAAGCUACAUUGUACGUAUUAAAUUAAGUUUUAACCUCUAAUGUAGGAAUAGGGAGUUUUAUAUCGAAAUUUAAAUGCCGUGCCGUCAAAGAACGGAAGGCAGGACAGUUUCUGCAAACACCCACUUAGCGAAGUGGUGGUUUAAAACUUUUUAUGACAAAUACGGCAAAUGUGGCCUGUUA